rnacentral:rRNA from 1 species
GAGAAGGCUAUGUUGGCCGGGCGACGGUUGUCCCGGUUUAAGCGUGUAGGCUGGUUUUCCAGGCAAAUCCGGAAAAUCAAGGCUGAGGCGUGAUGACGAGGCACUACGGUGCUGAAGCAACAAAUGCCCUGCUUCCAGGAAAAGCCUCUAAGCAUCAGGUAACAUCAAAUCGUACCCCAAACCGACACAGGUGGUCAGGUAGAGAAUACCAAGGCGCUUGAGAGAACUCGGGUGAAGGAACUAGGCAAAAUGGUGCCGUAACUUCGGGAGAAGGCACGCUGAUAUGUAGGUGAGGUCCCUCGCGGAUGGAGCUGAAAUCAGUCGAAGAUACCAGCUGGCAGCAACUGUUUAUUAAAAACACAGCACUGUGCAAACACGAAAGUGGACGUAUACGGUGUGACGCCUGCCCGGUGCCGGAAGGUUAAUUGUUGGGGUUAGCGCAAGCGAAGCUCUUGAUCGAAGCCCCGGUAAACGGCGGCCGUAACAAUAACGGUCCUAAGGUAGCGAAAUUCCUUGUCGGGUAAGUUCCGACCUGCACGAAUGGCGUAAUGAUGGCCAGGCUGUCUCCACCCGAGACUCAGUGAAAUUGAACUCGCUGUGAAGAUGCAGUGUACCCGCGGCAAGACGGAAAGACCCCGUGAACCUUUACUAUAGCUUGACACUGAACAUUGAGCCUUGAUGUGUAGGAUAGGUGGGAGGCUUUGAAGUGUGGACGCCAGUCUGCAUGGAGCCGACCUUGAAAUACCACCCUUUAAUGUUUGAUGUUCUAACGUUGACCCGUAAUCCGGGUUGCGGACAGUGUCUGGUGGGUAGUUUGACUGGGGCGGUCUCCUCCUAAAGAGUAACGGAGGAGCACGAAGGUUGGCUAAUCCUGGUCGGACAUCAGGAGGUUAGUGCAAUGGCAUAAGCCAGCUUGACUGCGAGCGUGACGGCGCGAGCAGGUGCGAAAGCAGGUCAUAGUGAUCCGGUGGUUCUGAAUGGAAGGGCCAUCGCUCAACGGAUAAAAGGUACUCCGGGGAUAACAGGCUGAUACCGCCCAAGAGUUCAUAUCGACGGCGGUGUUUGGCACCUCGAUGUCGGCUCAUCACAUCCUGGGGCUGAAGUAGGUCCCAAGGGUAUGGCUGUUCGCCAUUUAAAGUGGUACGCGAGCUGGGUUUAGAACGUCGUGAGACAGUUCGGUCCCUAUCUGCCGUGGGCGCUGGAGAACUGAGGGGGGCUGCUCCUAGUACGAGAGGACCGGAGUGGACGCAUCACUGGUGUUCGGGUUGUCAUGCCAAUGGCACUGCCCGGUAGCUAAAUGCGGAAGAGAUAAGUGCUGAAAGCAUCUAAGCACGAAACUUGCCCCGAGAUGAGUUCUCCCUGACCCUUUAAGGGUCCUGAAGGAACGUUGAAGACGACGACGUUGAUAGGCCGGGUGUGUAAGCGCAGCGAUGCGUUGAGCUAACCGGUACUAAUGAACCGUGAGGCUUAACCC